UCAGGUUUUGAUAAAAGUGGAAGAGGGGAAAUAGCAGCGCCGCCAGUAACACCACCUUCUUCUCAAGAUCUAAAUUCGAAUCAUGCCAAGAUUGCCAAGACUACCACUCCGAGGAGCACCACCUCGCGGGGCCGGAAGAAACUUCGAUUGACGCUGCAAAACCUAAAGAGUACCUAGGAGAAGCAGGUGGAAACCCACUUUAGAGAAGGAGCUUGACGCUUAUUCCCUUAUUAUAAAGAAGCCGUGACUGAGAAAGUGCACGAACUGAGCCGGUGCAUGGUUUACGAAACGCCGUCAUCGUGAUUCUGCUGGAGGAGAGUGACUUCCUUUGAAGUUUGUUGACGAGAUCUACUAACAGAUUGAAUGGGGAGUUCAGUAGCGGCGCAAUCGUGCUGACGGAGUCGGUAACUUACACCACUGUGAAGAGUAACUGUCGUUUGCGGGUGACUUAUGGAUUGCCUAAUGUCGAUGCUGUGUAUUAAAGGACUAGACCGAAUCGUGUUUUUAGUGUUGGAAGACGAGAAAUUUGAAAUUGUUGACGCAAUCUGUCCGAGGACAGUUUGGUGUUCGAUCGCAUGUGCCUGAAUGGAUGCAUGUACCGGAGAGGAUUAUGAUAGCAUUAUUGUGGUCUCUGAAAUGAUAGAAGCUCUAUAAGGGCUAAAGAAGGCAUCGACAAAGCUCAGUAAAGUAAAGCUAUUCCUGAGGCAGAUAUCCGCUCGAUAGUGGAUUUUUCGAUGCAGAAAAAUAGUGAAGCCAUGUGCAUAACACUUCCUAACAUAAUUUGGUCUGUGUCUCAGAUAUUCAAAUGCCUAUGAUGAAUGAUUUAAUUUUCUAACAUAUGAUGUUAGGCAAUCCAUAAGUCUCUCCCCGCAAACACGCUAGUCUUUACAGUGGCGUAGGUACCCGACUCAGCCAGCACGAUUGCGCCGCUACCGACCUUCCCAUUUAAUCUGUCAUUGAUCUGGUCAACAAGCUUUAACGAAGGUCACUCCCCUCCAGCACAAUCGGGAUGACGACCUUCCGUGAACCACCGCACUGGCUCAGUUUGACUUGCACUUUCUCAGCCACGGCUUCCUUAUAAUAGCGGAACAAGGCGUCGAGCUCCUUUUUUAAGGUUUCCGCUUGCUUCUCCUCGACACUCUAUGACACAAUGACACAUUUGUUCAUAAUUGUUUAUUUCAUUAAUAACAUGUCAUUUAUGUCAUACGUUAUUAUUAUAAUGUUGUUACUAUCAAUUUGAU